rnacentral:rRNA from 1 species
GACGAACGCUGGCGGCGUGCUUAACACAUGCAAGUCGAACGGAAAGGCCCUGCUUUUGUGGGGUGCUCGAGUGGCGAACGGGUGAGUAACACGUGAGUAACCUGCCCUUGACUUUGGGAUAACUUCAGGAAACUGGGGCUAAUACCGGAUAGGAGCUCCUGCUGCAUGGUGGGGGUUGGAACGUUUCGGCGGUUGGGGAUGGACUCGCGGCUUAUCAGCUUGUUGGUGGGGUAGUGGCUUACCAAGGCUUUGACGGGUAGCCGGCCUGGGAGGGUGACCGGCCACAUUGGGACUGAGAUACGGCCCAGACUCCUACGGGAGGCAGCAGUGGGGAAUAUUGCACGAUGGGCGGAAGCCUGAUGCAGCAACGCCGCGUGCGGGAUGACGGCCUUCGGGUUGUAAACCGCUUUCGCCUGUGACGAAGCGUGAGUGACGGUAAUGGGUAAAGAAGCACCGGCUAACUACGUG